rnacentral:rRNA from 1 species
GACGAACGCUGGCGGCGUGCUUAACACAUGCAAGUCGAACGGUAAGGCCCUUCGGGGUACACGAGUGGCGAACGGGUGAGUAACACGUGGGUGAUCUGCCCUGCACUUCGGGAUAAGCCUGGGAAACUGGGUCUAAUACCGGAUAGGACCACUGCCUGCAUGGGUGGUGGUGGAAAGCUUUUGUGGUGUGGGAUGGGCCCGCGGCCUAUCAGCUUGUUGGUGGGGUGAUGGCCUACCAAGGCGACGACGGGUAGCCGGCCUGAGAGGGUGACCGGCCACACUGGGACUGAGAUACGGCCCAGACUCCUACGGGAGGCAGCAGUGGGAAUAUAGCACAAUGGGCGCAAGCCUGAUGCAGCGACGCCGCGUGAGGGAUGACGGCCUUCGGGUUGUAAACCUCUUUCAGCACCGACGAGGCGCAAGUGACGGUAGGUGCAGAAGAAGGACCGGCCAACUACGUGCCAGCAGCCGCCGUAA